CGGGGUUCCGCGGCACCGGGAACGGGACGGGGGUUCCGCGGCGGCAGGAGGGUGCGGAAUGGGGAGUUCCGCCGCGGUAUGGGCCUGGCCCGCCUACCGGUGGUCGGACAAAGAGAGCGGUGUCUGGGGUGGGAGCGAUCCCGCGCGAACCGCCCGUCCCGGUACCGGGGGAGAUCGCGGUGCCGCGGAGCCGUCCACGGACAGGCGCGGUCGCGCGUGCCGCUCGGCGCCGCCGCCGCUGCGGGAACGCGAAUCCUUCCCGGCGACGCGGACACGACCGGCAGAAUGGGGCACCGCUGCCGCCGGUUUCGUUGUGCCGGCAGCCCCCGGCUGCGGUCCCGGGGAGGAGGAGAGGUGACCCGGGGCCAGCGGGGCGGCCCCACGCGCGAUUUGGUCCAUCUCCCGCGUUAUCUGUCAGCAAACUGGCGUAGGAAUGGGGCUGCGCCUGGAGGCUGCCAGCCGGUACCGGGAGGCUGCCAGCCGGUACCGGGGAGGCUGCCAGCCGGUACCGGGGAGGCUGCCAGCCGGUACCCCCACCGGCUCCCCGCUCUGGCUCUGCCUCUCGCCCCACGGCACGGCGUCGGGAAACAGCACCUUCUCCCCGAGGGGGCCACGGAAGAACGAGACACGCACGAAUCGCGGGAAAUCGGAGCAGCCUCUGGGAGACAGGAGGUCCCACGCGACCGGUUCUCGCAAGUGGGCAGGGACCGAACCCGCCCCCCGCGCUGUCGGUGUGAGGCUCCGGGAGGACCGGACAGCCCUUCAGCCCGGUCCCGCGGAGUGAAGCGGUUUCCGUGUCCGUGGGCAGCGCCGCCGCUCGGAGCUGCCCCGAGAGUGGGACGCGCGUGGGCUCCUGCGGCGCCGUUCACGACAGACGAGACCAGACCAGAAGCCUCCCGUGGGUCUUUCCCUGCUGUCCCCACGUCGCUCUCCCGUUCGCUCAGGAGCUCGGUGCCGAUGAGCAGGGGGCCUGGGCGGCUGCCACGCUCACGCGUGGGAAACCCACGGCGGGAGCGGCCGCGGGGAUACGGCUGCGUCUGCCCUCCGGUGAAUGAGAGGGCGCCCAGCCGUGCAGGCGUGGGGCUGGGGCACGAGCCCCUUCCCUUUCCCCGGCUGGGGAGGCCGCCCGGGGGGUGCGGGGACCGGAGGGCACCGGCGCUGUCCCCAGCCCGAGCAGCGUUGUUUCCCGGGGAUCCUGCCUGCCGCCGUGUCACCGGGGCGGGCACGGACCUCCAACGGCGGACACGGGUGGGGCUUCGGGACCCCGCGGGGAGCGCCGACAGCGGGACCCGCACGGCCCCACGCGGGACGCGGGGCUCGUGUGUCGGGUCUCCGUGGGCAGAUCCCUCCUCCCGCCGCCCCCGGCCGAAGUGAAACCGCGCUCCCGGGAGGAGGCGGAAGGUUCCCACUCCGCGGCUCCCGUGUACUCCCACACCACGCCUGAAACCCCGCG
rnacentral:lncRNA from 14 species